UGUAAACGUUUGGAGCGCCACAGACAGCAACAGAAAGAUGCACUGUGACUGUUCAUGGCAGUCAAACUCUCAAUGCCUGAUGGAGAGAGACAGGCUAGUAAAUAGAAGUUAAUCGGUCAGAGAGCGUGAAAACGUCCACAGCUCCAUAGAGGCCUGCACAUCCGAGGCCCCUGGAGAUCACCCCUAGACCUGAUGCCGUCUUACACAACGCCAGCUUUUCUGAGGGCACCAACUCAGCUACCAGCUGGUGUUCUUGUCAUCUUGUGCAGGAGAAUAGAAAAAGGAAAG
ensembl:lncRNA